rnacentral:rRNA from 1 species
GGAUCCAGACUUUGAUUCUGGCUCAGGAUGAACGCUAGCUACAGGCCUAACACAUGCAAGUCGAGGGGAAACGGCAGCUUAGCUAGCUAAGCUGGACGUCGACCGGCGCACGGGUGAGUAACGCGUAUCCAACCUGCCCCACGGUGAGGGAUAACCCGCGGAAACGCGGCCUAAUACCUCAUGGUCUCCGAGCUUGACAUCAAUCUUGGAGUAAAGAUUCAUUGCCGUGGGAUGGGGAUGCGUCUGAUUAGCUUGUUGGCGGGGCAACGGCCCACCAAGGCAACGAUCAGUAGGGGUUCUGAGAGGAAAGCCCCCCACAUUGGAACUGAGACACGGUCCAAACUCCUACGGGAGGCAGCAGUGAGGAAUAUUGGUCAAUGGGCGAGAGCCUGAACCAGCCAAGUAGCGUGCAGGAAGACGGCCCUAUGGGUUGUAAACUGCUUUUAUGCGGGGAUAAAGCGGGCGACGUGUCGCCCUUUGCAGGUACCGCAUGAAUAAGGACCGGCUAAUUCCGUGCCAGCAGCCGCGGUAAUACGGAAGGUCCGGGCGUUAUCCGGAUUUAUUGGGUUUAAAGGGAGCGCAGGCCGGGUAUUAAGCGUGUUGUGAAAUGUAGGCGCCCAACGUCUGCACCGCAGCGCGAACUGGUGCCCUUGAGUACGCACGACGUUGGCGGAAUUCGCCGUGUAGCGGUGAAAUGCUUAGAUAUGGCGAAGAACUCCGAUUGCGAAGGCAGCUGACGGGAGCGCUACUGACGCUCAUGCUCGAAAGCGCGGGUAUCGAACAGGAUUAGAUACCCUGGUAGUCCGCGCGGUAAACGAUGGAUGCCCGCUAUUUGCGCAUUAGCGCAAGUGGCCAAGUGAAAACGUUAAGCAUCCCACCUGGGGAGUACGCCGGCAACGGUGCAACUCAAAUGAAUUGACGG